AUUUAGAGAACAAACAGAAUCUCACACAGCUCUACCUCAUCCACACCACGUGUCCUCCUCACUGCCACAAAAUUGACGUCGUCUCAUGAGCUCUCGUGUCUCCUCUACGUCGGAGCUUGGUCCACAUCUCCUCGCAAGCACUUCCCUCGUAUGUUGCCUCCUCCCCAGCUGCGCACGCACAUCAGCGUUGCCGCAUUGGAGAAGAUUCGCGUUGGUGGAAGCGACGGCAUGGACAACCAGCGACCGGCUGAGGGGCAACAGGUGGCAGGCAACGGCAUGCAGCGAGGAGCAGCCACGGCUGAGAGGCAGCACGCAGAAAGCUAAGGGUGGGCGGCAGCUGAAGGGCGACGCGCGAUCUGCGCCGAGAGGCGAGGGAACGAGAGGAGAGGACGAGAGGCAAUGGGAGAGAGAUGGGGAUCGACGCCCACAAGAUUGAGAGCGAGCGGAUGCGGGCGACAGCGCUUCCAAGCACUUGAGCUGUCGACCAUCAUUCUCCUCCGUCCGGGCCACCUCUUUCUCUGCACCCUUGAUCUCGGACUCGAAAGCUACGAGGGCAGAGGACGGCGUUCUUUCUUGCAAUAUGUGUUUAUCCACCGUGGGAGGAGAUCCCUUGCAUGAUUAGCAACUCAUUUUCCGAUCCUGAUUCGGAGUUUUUUCUUGGUUUUUUAUUUAAAUCACGAUGUCUUGUGGCAGCUGUUAUUUUGAUUUGCUGUGGAAGGUAUGGUGAAAUGUUGCAACGGGAGCACCCGAGAGCGUCUGAUGGAUUUGACUUGAUGUCCAAACUCGUGCAAUACGAGAUUCAAAGGGAAUCAUGCAAAAUUAAAGGAAUAGCCUCAAAACCGAGGGAUAAAAGGGUAUAUUCUCUACUUCUAUCGCAGCGUUCAAGCAAUAUUUUGUAUGACUAUAGAUAACAUAGUAUUAGCUUUGCAUUUUUCCAAUUUAGCAUGGAGAAAUUAAUCCAACAAUACUCUAGUUUGAAACAUUUGGAAUUGGUGAAAUCAAAGGGAACUGCAUUUCCACUUC